GAUGAACGCUGGCGGCGUGCCUAAUACAUGCAAGUAGAACGCUGAAGGAGGAGCUUGCCCUUCUGGAUGAGUUGCGAACGGGUGAGUAACGCGUAGGUAACCUGCCUGGUAGCGGGGGAUAACUAUUGGAAACGAUAGCUAAUACCGCAUGACAACAGUUAUUGCAUGAUAACUGUUUAAAAGGGGCAACUGCUCCACUACCAGAUGGACCUGCGUUGUAUUAGCUAGUUGGUGAGGUAACGGCUCACCAAGGCGACGAUACAUAGCCGACCUGAGAGGGUGAUCGGCCACACUGGGACUGAGACACGGCCCAGACUCCUACGGGAGGCAGCAGUAGGGAAUCUUCGGCAAUGGACGGAAGUCUGACCGAGCAACGCCGCGUGAGUGAAGAAGGGUUUCGGAUCGUAAAGCUCUGUUGUAAGAGAAGAACGAGUGUGAGAGUGGAAAGUUCACACUGUGACGGUAUCUUACCAGAAAGGGACGGCUAACUACGUG
rnacentral:rRNA from 1 species